AGUGCUUAGCCUGAGGAUAACUCAGAGUCCAGCAAGGAGGUCUGGGAUUCACACUGAGCACGUGUGUCUGCCUAGGCUUGGGCUGUUUUCUGGGAUGGACUACCUGAAAUUCAUCACGUCCACCUCCAUAUGUGUGAAAGUGCAUGAGGAGGACAUGGAAUUAUGCCACAUAUCUUGCUACAAAUAUGUAUAAACAGUUGCUUCUGCAUUUGCCCAGGAGGAACAGCUUCAUUGAAGAAGCACAAAGAAAAGGCAGCCGUUGAGAAAGGGAGUCUGUGUCUGCCGUGAGAGGAUCAGAGACCUGCGGGGACACAGAGCAAGGCAGGAGUUCGGGGCCAGCAGAGAAGAGCUUGCUCUCACCGGUGAACAAUGUGGCCUUGUUGGGGCUGGAGGAAUAACUCAGAGGGUGAAAGGCAAACCUGACAACCUGCGUUCAUCAAAUAUCCCCCAACCACAGAUUUGCACAUACAUAGGCCCUCACCCAUCCACAGGUGACUUCCAAAUCUACUCAGGCUGACAAUCGAGAUGAACCCUCAGGACGUCUCGUAUUUAUGAACAUUCUUCUAUCUACUGGAUCAUUCUCAUAAACAUGUGUGGCACGUGCUACAGUUUUGCCGUCCUACAAUAAAUAAAUAUCUGG
rnacentral:lncRNA from 1 species